rnacentral:RNase_P_RNA from 1 species
AUAGCAGGCCAACUUAUCGCUGCCGUUUUGCGGGAGAGGAAAGUCCGGACACCAUAGUGCAGUAUAGCGGGUAACGCCCGUCCACCGAAAGGUGAGGACCAGUGCAACAGAAAGAAUGUACAGUUAGGCUGUAGUGAAACCAGGUAAACUCUAUACGGUGAAACGUCAUGUAAAUCAGUGUUUGAGGGCUGCACGCCCAAGCUGAAGGGUAGGCGGUUAGAGCCUUUGGGCAACCAAGGGCCUAGAUAAAUGAUAAGCAACCUCGGACUUGGUUCGAGGUCAAACAGAAUCCGGCUUAUGGUCUGCUUGCACA